GCAGAGUAGGUCUUGAUGCGUGAAGUGCCGGCCGUACAGGGAGUUGACGGACGGACGAAAAGUAUGUGCAGCAUACUUGCGGUAUCAGGGCCGCAUCCCGCUGC
rnacentral:ncRNA from 1 species